CUUACGUUGAACUAGUUGCUGAUGGACCCUUUUCAUAUUCUCAAGGAUAAAACUGGGUGCCCCUAAGAAGACACUCUUCCACCAUCGAAUUUCCUCAACUUUCCUCUUCAUUUCCCGCUAUUAAUUCUUCGGGGUUUUCUUGAUUGAUAAUUGGUAAUUAGGGUAUUGAAAGAUGAAACGUACAAGGUAGUAGAUAUGAAAGAUGCUUGCUGAGAUGACGACGUAUUCGAAUUGCGUUGGUUAGAGAACAAGCAAGAAACUGCAGUUCUUUCUGUUUCUAAAGAGGAGGAAAAAGAUCUUAAAUGUAGCAGUCUUUCGGUCAGGAUGAGAAGCUGAGGAAAGCUGUUGAAUCUUUCAAGGGAAAUAUUUGGAAGCGAAUAGCUGCUAGUUUACCUAGUAGAAGAGAAGUGCAAUGUCUGCAUCGAUGGCGAAAGGUUCUUCAUCCAGACCUGGUUAAGGGACAAAGGACCCUAGAGAAAGAUGAUAAAUUCAUGGAGUUGGUCUAUGGACCCUCGCCGUUAUAGCAAAAGAGUUGCCAGGUCGCACAGGAAAGCAAUGCCGAGAAAGGGAACCAUGAUGAGCUGUUCAUAUAGCGCCAGUAGGUUGUAUUCAAGUGGACUGCCAGAUAGUCAAGGAAAAUAAUAUGUGCAGUUUUCAGGUGGCACAACUAUUUGAACCAGGAGAAUAAGAGAGAUGGUUGGACCGUGGAGGCAGAACUUGCACUCAUGAAUGGUUCUGUUCCACCCCUUUAUCCCUGACUAGAUGAGGAGGGUCUAAUUGGUGUACUAGCAACUGUAUCCAGUUUUUCUGAUGGUCUUGAAUGCAGACAACUGGCAUCAGAGCAUGAGUUUGGUGUAGCAAAUUAAACUCGCAACCAAACUUGGUCAGAUAUAGAAGCAAAGCAGAAGGUCAUCUAGAUGAAAGCAUUGCUGGAAUACCACUACCAACUGCUGUUCUUUUCAGAAUGAAGUAUUGGACUUGAACUUGAUUAUUUGACCUAUGGUUUGCUGCUAAUAGGUUUUCAAUCACUAACUCCAUAUAAGAAAAAGAGAGGCUAGUGGUACUCUGAAUUGGAAUGAGCGAGGUAAGAGAUGAAAAAGACAAGAGUUUGCAUUCAUAAGAAAGAAUGCAUGAAAGAUGGAACGAAUAAAACUGAUAUUAGUGAUGAGAUCCCUAGAUCAGAGGAUGUGAUUUGAAAGAGUGACAAUUCUGCUUGCCGUGGUAAUGGCACUGUUAGCUCCUUAGCUGUUUUACACCUGGAGGCCCGUCCAUACGGAUGGGUCGUUCUAUUCCUGGAAGGCUUGUUUUUAUUGAUCAAGGCUGACGUUUUCUGGUCUUUAGGGAUUACAAAUGAGCAACAAAAUGAAGAAAAGUUGCUCCUAAAUUAAAGAAAAGAAUGAUGAAUGACGAUUCUGCUUGUCAUGCUAAUGAUGGCAUUAGACUGUUCUAGUGAUCAAAGGAUUCAUUCUCAUGUCAGCGCGGGUUUUUCAUGAGCCAUGAAGAUUUCUUGACCAAUUUUGUGUUCCCCUUACUACUUUCGAUAUCUUUCUUGAAGAUUGAGAGAGAACUUUUUUUUCUUUCACAAACUUGGUUAAAAAGACCAAAAUCAACACUUCCUGGGUGAAAAGGACAUUUAAAUUUUGAUACUGUUUAAAUGGACAAAAAUGUCAAAAUAUAAGCAAUUUCAUCCU